rnacentral:rRNA from 1 species
GCUCACUGGUCGAGUCGGCCUGCGCGGAAGAUGUAACGGGGCUAAACCAUGCACCGAAGCUGCGGCAGCGACACUAUGUGUUGUUGGGUAGGGGAGCGUUCUGUAAGCCUGUGAAGGUGUACUGUGAGGUAUGCUGGAGGUAUCAGAAGUGCGAAUGCUGACAUAAGUAACGAUAAAGCGGGUGAAAAGCCCGCUCGCCGGAAGACCAAGGGUUCCUGUCCAACGUUAAUCGGGGCAGGGU